rnacentral:rRNA from 1 species
UACGGAGGAUGCAAGCGUUAUCCGGAAUGAUUGGGCGUAAAGCGUCCGCAGGUGGCAAUGUAAGUCUGCUGUCAAAGCGUCUGGCUCAACCAGAUAAAGGCAGUGGAAACUACAUAGCUAGAGUAAGGUAGGGGUAGAGGGAAUUCCUGGUGUAGCGGUGAAAUGCGUAGAUAUCGGGAGGAACACCAGUGGCGAAGGCGGUUACCUGGAGCUUUGCUGACGCUGAUGCGCGAAAGCGUGGGGAGCGAACAGG